AAGCAGGCGCUUUCCGCGUUCUGCUAUUGGAAUGAGUAGAAUUUAAAUCACUUUUCGACUAUCCAUUGGAGGGCAAGUCUGGUGCCAGCAGCCGCGGUAAUUCCAGCUCCAAUAGCGUAUAUUAAAGUUGUUGCGGUUAAAAAGCUCGUAGUUGGAUCUCGGCAGGUAGGGGGCGGUUCGUUUCUGACGGCACUGCCCCAUUUACCUGUGUUUUUGACGGAGGUCUCAAGGUGGCUUUAAACGGCUGUCUUGGAACGCCGUCAGGUUUACUUUGAAAAAAUUAGAGUGCUCAAAGCAGGCUACAAAGCUUGAAUAUUUGUGCAUGGAAUAAUGGAAUAGGACAACGUUUCUAUUUUUUUUGGUUUUCGGAAAUUGUUGUAAUGAUAAAUAGGAACAGCCGGGGACAUUAGUACUCAGACGACAGAGGUGAAAUUCUUGGACCGUUUGAGGACUAACUACUGCGAAAGCAUUUGUCAAGAGUGUUUUCAUUAAUCAAGAACGAAAGUUAGAGGUUCGAAGGCGAUCAGAUAACGCCCUAGUUCUAACCAUAAACGAUGCUGACUAGCGAUCCGUAGCUGUUUUCUAUGUAGGCUCUACGGGAAGCUUCCGGGAAACCAAAGUUUUUGAGUUCCGGGGGAAGUAUGGUUGCAAAGCUGAAACUUAAAGGAAUUGACGGAAGGGCACCACCAGGAGUGGAGCCUGCGGCUUAAUUUGACUCAACACGGGAAAUCUCACCAGGCCCAGACACUGGAAGGAUUGACAGAUUGAGAGCUCUUUCUCGAUUCAGUGGGUGGUGGUGCAUGGCCGUUCUUAGUUGGUGGAGUGAUUUGUCUGGUUAAUUCCGAUAACGAACGAGACUCUGUCCUGCUAAAUAGGUUUGCCGUCUCUUUUGCGGUAAACAUUCUUCUUAGAGGGACUGGCGGCGUCUAGCCGCACGAGAUUGAGCAAUAACAGGUCUGUGAUGCCCUUAGAUGUUCUGGGCUGCACACGCGCUACACUGAAUGGAUCAGCGUGUUUUCCCUUCCCGAGAGGGACGGGUAACCCGCUGAACCCCAUUCGUGGUAGGGAUCGGAGCUUGCAAUUAUUCUCCGUGAACCAGGAAUUCCCAGUAAGCGCAAGUCAUAAGCUUGCGUUGAUUACGUCCCUGCCCUUUGUACACACCGCCCGUCGCUACUACCGAUUGAACGUUUUAGUGAGAAAUCUGGAUUCGACCUCCUUGGGUUCAUUCCCACGGUGCUGUCGGAGAAGUUUUUCAAACUUGAGCGUUUAGAGGAAGUAAAAGUCGUAACAAGGUAGCUGUAGGUGAACCUGCAGCUG
rnacentral:rRNA from 1 species